rnacentral:rRNA from 1 species
UACGGAGGAUCCAAGCGUUAUCCGGAUUUAUUGGGUUUAAAGGGUGCGUAGGCGGCCUGUUAAGUCAGGGGUGAAAGACGGUAGCUCAACUAUCGCAGUGCCCUUGAUACUGAUGGGCUUGAAUACACUUGAGGUAGGCGGAAUGUGACAAGUAGCGGUGAAAUGCAUAGAUAUGUCACAGAACACCAAUUGCGAAGGCAGCUUACUAAAGUGUGAUUGACGCUGAGGCACGAAAGCGUGGGGAUCAAACAGG